GAAUGAAAGGAUGACACUUUUAUGUUUUGAUGGCCAAUGUGAUGGCUUUGAACAUGUAUUAGCUCUAGCUGAUCAUUC